rnacentral:tRNA from 1 species
UCGUCGAUAGCUCAGUUGGUAGAGCGGUGGACUGUAGAUCUAUAGGUCGCUGGUUGGAAUCCGGCUCGACAGAG